rnacentral:rRNA from 1 species
UACGGGGGGAGCAAGCGUUGUUCGGAUUUACUGGGCGUAAAGGGCGCGUAGGCGGCCAGCACAAGUCAGUUGUGAAAUCUCCGGGCUUAACUCGGAAAGGUCAACUGAUACUGUGCGGCUAGAGUGCGGAAGGGGCAACUGGAAUUCUCGGUGUAGCGGUGAAAUGCGUAGAUAUCGAGAGGAACACCUGCGGCGAAGGCGGGUUGCUGGGCCGACACUGACGCUGAUGCGCGAAAGCCAGGGGAGCAAACGGG